UAAUCUAAUUGGAAUCAAUCGCUGUCUGAGCUAAUGUUAAAAAUUCUUAUUCAUGUUGCCCAUAUUAAGGGGAAUUUCCUCUUCUAAUUUGUGGAUUAAAAGGAACCCCCAUCUGGGAACUUGGUAAUUAACAAAACUCUCUCUCACUAUCUCUGGAACACAGACAACUACUGGGGGAGCAAGUUUGAAUGAACGAAUGAAUAAAAUAAAUUAGAAAAAGAAUACGUAAAAUAAGAAAUAAAAGAGAAUAAGAUAGAGAGAGCAUGUCUACGUGUGUUUGUCUAUAAAGUUGGACUAAUAAAAGCUAAUAAGAAGAAAAAGGUUAAUAAAAUAAAUUUACCUGACAUGUUGCUGGUAUUGCUUUAUGUUGUUACUUCGUUUAGAUUCUAUACGUUUGAGAGAGUUUCUUUUUUUGUUUUGCUUUAUUAUUGUUGUACAGUUUAACAGCUUGGAACAGCAGUAGCCGUAGCAGCAGCAACAGCUGUAGGUACAACAACGAAGAAACAUAAAACUUGAUUUCAUGUUGGUCAGGUUGGUUGGUGUGACAGGCAUAGUUUGGUGGUGUGGUCUGGUACGAGUAUGUUUGGUUAUUAUAGAUAGAUGAAAGUAUUGUUUGAAAAUAGACACACUUGAAUUUAUAUUUAUACUUAAAAGGUAUCAUUGUAAACGAAGAGUAUGAUGAGGAAAUGUUUUCAGUUGUUUAUUGUGUAAUGGUUUGUGUGUCAUAUUCAAUUUAAAUAUAAAAAUUACUUUUUCCAUAUUGUUAUUAAUUACAACACCUACACAAAUUAUUAAAAUAAAAUAUGAUUUAAAGAUGUUAAUAUCUAUGGUCAUGGUCGCAUGUUAAUAUGUCAUGUCCUUGAUUUUUUAUAAAAUAGGGUUUUUAUUGGAUGGAUAUUUAUAGUUGAAAGUUAAACAGAUGGGUCGUUUUAGAAUUAAUUUGUUAUUUAUUGUAUCUCUCCUUUAAUUAAACUUCCUUGAGGGCAUUUCAAAGGCGAUCAAAAGGGAAAGUUA